UUUUCUGGUCUGUCUUCGGCGGAUGAAAUAAAGAUAAAAUAAAGAAAAUGGCUUUGCUUUAUUUACUAAAGAGCAAACGAACUUUGCACACCGCAGAUAAUUUAGAAGCGGUUUGUUCGGUGAGUUUCACCACUCCAGGAGCUGUGAGCUGACGGACUAUUUUUUUGUCCCGAGCCCAGUUUAACACCGKGGUCAGUUUAAUGAGCUGCUGACCCACAUCGGUGCUGAUAUCUCCAGUCAGAACACCAACUACAGAUGGUUGAUUUCAGCUCAAGAUCUGCUGUCUGUCUGUUUGUGGGCAACAUUCAGGAAACUGUCACGUGGAAAAAUUWGUCUGAUUGGUUGUGUAGCAGGAGCGUAAGGAAGCAGUUCCACACCAGAACUUUGAAUCAAUACUUCCUCAUCCUCCCAUAUCUACAGAGAACAAUGGCUUCCUCCACUGCCUCGCCCUUUGUCUCCACUGUCUACAAGUGCUAAAAUAAACAGGACUUGCAACCUUCCAUUGAUUAAGCCCUGUUGUGAGAUCCCUUUAAGUGUUCAAAAUGGCCGUUUAUCACAAAGGACCCACCAUUUGCCAGYCUGAAAGUCUCCAGAAGUGGGUUUACAAUCCACAUCUAGACCCUAGGAGACUGUGUUCCCUGCUGAGAUAAUGCCCACGAACAAUCUUCAAAGACAUACUGUACCUAACAUACAAUCUCAUUUAUGGUCUUAGAGCGCCCCUAAAGGCUAGUCUCAUAAUCACAUCAUGAGCAAAUUUUUUUUCUGGGUAAAUUUCUGUUGUUUGGUUGUCUGAUAAAAAAAGAAGAAAAAGAAACAAUGUAUUUUUCUAUCAUGACUCAAUCACUGUGAUAAUAUCUUGAUUUAAUCACUGUACAAGUAAACCCCCAUCAAUCUGUGUUGUUUAAUCAUUUUUAGCAGCAUGAAUGUGAUGUCAGAGAAGCGGGUGACACCCCUUUGUGACUAUCUCUCAGCCAAUCAGAAGUUUGUAAAGUCAGGACAAGAGAUAACAUUUUUUUAUUUGUGUAGAGAGUUUGAAAACAGCAGCGAGAGAGAGAGCGGACAAGGAGUUUCAGGUUCCUCCAUUCCCUUCGGGGACAUUUAUUUUAAUUAUUUUUUUUUUUUUUAUAGUGUAGGGACGAGAUUUGUUCGGGAAACUGUACUUACCAGAACUUCAGUUCGAUCCAUCGGGACCCGAACCGACCUCCUCAUCUCUAGCUAAAAGCCGACCCCAGACAGUCUCGGUGCGUCCAAGCUGUACCCACACGGGACCCCCUUUGAGACCGAGUGGCACCGGUGAUUCAUCUUUGCUCAGAUCUCUCGGUACCCCGGGGCAGAACUGACUGGUUCGCAUCGAAAUGUUGCCAGGACACGUUGAGCGGCGAAAGAUCAGAUUUUUGAACUCUGGCGUCAGCUGCUUUGGAUGCAGCAUGCAUGGAAAAUGCUCUGCUGCACCUUCCACGUUUCUUCUGCARCGCACUAAAUGGACCUGACYCACCGCAAGAGCCCUGGAGGCGUGUCCACCACAGACUUUCCAUGUAAACUGGCUGCUCCUGCAGAUCAAAACACGUUCAGUGUGAACGUACUAUAAGACGGCCUUUUUAGACCAAAGCUUCCUCAUUUACAAGCCUAAUUCCAGAAGAAAUAACAGAAUUCAAUGAUCUGCAAAUCCUUUUCAGCCUAUACUUAGCUGAAUACACUACAAAGACAAGAUGUUCAAACAGAUAAACUUUUUUUUCUUUGCAAAUAUUCACUCAUUUUGAAUCUGCCCAUUGAAAGUGUGUGGAGACCCCGACAACAGAGACCCCGGACUGUUGAGCAACUGAAGUUGUUCAUCAAGCAAGAAUAAAAGAAUUCAGCUAAAAAGCUUCAACAAUCAGUGUCCUCAGUUCACAAACARUUAUUMUGUGUUGUUAAAGGAAAGCUGAUGSAACACAGUGGUGAACAUGUCCCAGCUUUAUGGAACGUGAUGCAGGCUUCAAAUUCAAAAGGAGUGAAUAUUUAUACAAAAACAAAGUUUAUCAGUUUGAACAUUAAAUAUCUUGUCUUUGUAGUGGAUUCAAUUAAAUAUUGGUUGAAAAGGAUUUGUAAAGCAUUGUAUUGUUUUUAUUUAGGUUUUACACAAAGUCACAACUUCACUGGAACAGGAGUUGUACAAAUAAACCUAAUAUGUUGCAAAAUGUU